GGGCCCGCACAAGCGGUGGAGCAUGUGGUUUAAUUCGACGCAACGCGCAGAACCUUACCAACCCUUGACAUACUUGUCGCGGAUUCCAGAGAUGAAUUCUUUCGGUUCGGCCGGACAGAACACAGGUGCUGCAUGGCUGUCGUCAGCUCGUGUCGUGAGAUGUUGGGUUAAGUCCGGCAACGAGCGCAACCCACAUCCCUAGUUGCCAGCAGUUCGGCUGGGCACUCUAUGGAAACUGCCCGUGAUAAGCGGGAGGAAGGUGUGGAUGACGUCAAGUCCUCAUGGCCCUUACGGGUUGGGCUACACACGUGCUACAAUGGUAGUGACAAUGGGUUAAUCCCAAAAAAGCUAUCUCAGUUCGGAUUGCACUCUGCAACUCGAGUGCAUG
rnacentral:rRNA from 1 species